GACGGAGGGGGCUAGCGUUGUUCGGAAUGACUGGGCGUAAAGGGCGCGUAGGCUGUUAAUCAAGUCAGGUGUGAAAGCCUUGGGCUUAACCCGAGAAUAGCGCUUGAUACUGAUUAACUAGAGGUUGGAAGAGAAAAGCGGAAUUCCUAGUGUAGAGGUGAAAUUCGUAGAUAUUAGGAAGAACACCAGAGGCGAAGGCGGCUUUUUGGUCCAAAUCUGACGCUGAGGCGCGAAAGCGUGGGGAGCAAACAGG
rnacentral:rRNA from 1 species